rnacentral:snRNA from 1 species
GGAUCCGGUUAAAAUUCCGGAACCGGGACG